AUGACUAGAUUGUGUGAGUUUCCAUACUAAAAGAGCUGUAGUGAUAAAAUAAUUGGCAUCAGAGACACUGAUUUUUGGCAUGGUAUACUGCAGAAGUUUUUUGGGGGUUUUUUUGCAUAAUUUACCUUUUAAUUAAACUGUAUUCUCUGUAUUGUAACAAAACUAACAUUGUUUAUAUGUCAGAAAAUUAGCAAACAUGAAUAAAUGGCGAAAACAAUAUAAUUAUAACAUAUAUUUUUAUUUUACUUAUUUUAGGUCUGUGAAGCCAAACUUGAUGCUGGGGAUUUAUUUUUGUCAGUGGAGUCAAAUGGUUGAAGCAGAAUUUGCCCGUCUUACAUCUGUUGACCUGAAAGGGUUCCUUUCUGCUGUGCUUGACCAUUAUGGAGAGGUUCGUGGAGCUGUACAAAAUCAAGAGCGG
ensembl:lncRNA